AUAUGAACCACAGGAGGAUAUUGUUUAAAAUGAAAUUUUGAUUCAGUAGAUCUGAGUGGGGCCUGAGAAUAUGCAUUUCUAACAAGUUCCCAGGUAAUGCUGAU
rnacentral:pre_miRNA from 1 species